AUUUCCCAGCAGGCUGCGCUCGCCGUUAGAGUAGCCGGACGACGGGCUGGUGGGGUGAACCCUUCAUCCUGGGUCUUUUAAUUUCUCAGGCGGAACGAGUGGCGGCGGACAGAGGCUUUUGGCUGCGCUGUCUGUGGGUUGUCUGGGCUUGGGGAACUGGGCACGGAGACCGUGGCGCCGGCCGCCGGUCAUACAGCUCUGCUUCCAGUCGUCGGGCAAAAAGCUGAGGCGCUUCUCCUUUAAUUGCGGUGGGCGGGGCGUGCCGACGCGGCCCGCGUUGCUAUUGGUGGCCGUUGGGGGCGCGGAAACUGAACGGGCCGCAACGGCCACCGCAGCUGCCUUCGGCGUCGCCAGCCCCGCCAUGGCUGCGCCCUGCGCGGAGGACCCCUCGCUGGAAAGGCAUUUUAAGGGCCACCGAGAUGCAGUUACCUGUGUGGACUUCAGUAUCAACACAAAGCAGCUGGCCAGUGGCUCCAUGGACUCAUGCCUCAUGGUCUGGCACAUGAAGCCGCAGUCACGCGCCUACCGCUUCACUGGCCACAAGGAUGCCGUCACCUGUGUGAACUUCUCUCCUUCGGGACACCUGCUGGCUUCCGGCUCCCGAGACAAGACUGUCCGCAUCUGGGUACCCAAUGUCAAAGGUGAGUCCACUGUGUUUCGUGCACACACAGCCACAGUGAGGAGUGUCCACUUCUGCAGUGAUGGCCAGUCCUUCGUGACAGCCUCUGAUGACAAGACAGUCAAAGUGUGGGCAACUCAUCGCCAGAAAUUCCUGUUCUCCCUGAGCCAGCAUAUCAACUGGGUCCGCUGUGCCAAGUUCUCCCCCGACGGGCGGCUCAUCGUGUCUGCCAGUGAUGACAAGACUGUUAAACUGUGGGACAAGAGCAGCCGGGAAUGUGUCCACUCGUAUUGCGAGCAUGGCGGCUUUGUCACCUAUGUGGACUUCCACCCCAGUGGGACGUGCAUUGCCGCUGCCGGCAUGGACAACACAGUGAAGGUGUGGGACGUGCGGACUCACCGGCUGCUGCAGCAUUAUCAGUUGCACAGUGCAGCAGUGAACGGGCUCUCUUUCCACCCGUCGGGAAACUACCUGAUCACAGCCUCCAGUGACUCAACCCUGAAGAUCCUGGACCUGAUGGAGGGCCGGCUGCUCUACACACUCCACGGGCAUCAGGGACCAGCCACCACUGUUGCCUUUUCAAGAACGGGGGAGUAUUUUGCUUCUGGAGGCUCUGAUGAACAAGUGAUGGUUUGGAAGAGUAACUUUGAUAUUGUUGAUCAUGGAGAAGUCACGAAAGUGCCGAGGCCCCCAGCCACACUGGCCAGCUCCAUGGGGAAUCUGCUCUCAGGGAAAUGCCACAGCUCCAGAGUGCUGGCAUGCAGGCAGCCAGCAGCACCAGACUCUGGCCCAUUCCAUGACAAUGCUGGCUGUGGGACAGAAGAGUUCCCUGCUCACACCCUUCCUCCAGUGGAAGAGUGUGUGUCUGCACUGCUAGGGGGUCCUCUGGAAGGAGUGGGCACAGCACUGAACAUUUCUUAAGAAAGGCCUGCUGGUAGCUUCAGAUAAGCACCUCUCACAGCCCAGCCGUUUGAAGGACUGGCCCAGUCUUCAUCCCUAUUUUAUAGAUGAGGAAAUGGAGGCCCAGAGCUGGUCAGUGACUGUCUGAGUCACCAUUCCUCACCACUGCACUCUGCUGUGUCUCCUGACAGAACUGCCUUAGUCUGGGGGCCACUGUGGUAGGCUGAAGUCUCUCCUGGCAAGGCUGGUGGACUUCUGAAAUUUCCUUUUGGGAUGGGCUUCUGGGUAAGCAUUGAGAUCUGAAGCACAUUGAUUCCUGGAGGACUGGAAGAGACCCAGCCCUGAUGGCCGAAGUCUUAGAAAUGGCCACGGAAGUGGCCGACAUGCUGAUGAUAGGCGUGUGGACACGGUGCUGCUCAUGCUGUCAAGAACAUCCCUCUGGCUCAUGUCUCACAUUCAAGUUCUCCUGUAGCUACCAUGAGGGCCAGCAUUUUUCCAAGUUCAAAUCAGCAUGCCCUUGAAAGUUUGUGAUCUAUGAGAAUAGAAUACUUACCUAAUAAAGGAAAACAUGCAGGUAGGGUCCAUGUGCUGAACCACAUUCCCACGGGAACAAGUCCACAGAGGAACUGCAGGCUCUAAGACCAGCCCUGCCCUUGGACACCCUUGGCUCCAGCAUCCCGCCCACUGAACAUGUGCACAGCACUUCCUCGGUCCACAGAAGCCUUUGUGCAUAAGGCAAGGAGCUGACUUUGCUGAAUUUAGGGGCUGAAGGGCCUUACGCAGAAACACUAAGCCCCUCACCUCCUGGAGUCCUACCUGAAGCAGCCCAGGGGUGCCUUUCCUGUGGAUUCUGAUUCCUGCCAGCCAUGUGCCAGCCUGGGACAUGCACACAGAAAUCUUUGUUUUUCCAGGGGAUCUGGGCCAGGGUGGGGUUGGAACACCCCUCUUCCCGCCACACACACACUUCCACCAAGUUCUGGGCCACAGCUUCUUGGGCCUGGGAAAGGCAUUGUGAAGCCUGGCACAUCCCCAUGUUGAAGGGUGGGGAAUUAGAGUUGAGCUGACCAGGAAGAGGAGGGACUUCAGGCCCAGGCCAGGCUUCAGCAUCUCUGGACUCACCUGGAUGCCUGCUGGUGGGUGCCAGCUGCUUGAAGAUAUGGGAGGCAGCUAGCCUCCCUGAGGGGCUCCAAGAGCAGGCUGAGGCCACUCACUGGCCUACCUGCCCUCCUCCCCACGCCCCUUCCUGCCUGGAUCACGAGGCGUUCUGAUUCCACUCCCCACUUAAGGCCUCUGCCUGGAAAGCCAGAAGUGGACUUCCCUGUCCCCCCAGGCAGAGGCAGGAGUGUGGAGUCUGUGCAGAGCCAGCCCCAGGAGCCCGUGAGUGUGCCCCAGACACUGACUAGCACGCUGGAGCACAUUGUGGGCCAGCUGGAUGUCCUCACUCAGACAGUCUCCAUCCUGGAGCAGCGGUUGACACUGACAGAAGACAAGCUGAAGCAGUGUCUGGAGAACCAGCAGCUAAUCAUGCAGAGAGCAACACCAUGAUCAGGGGAGCAGGAAUCAGGAGCUCGGUUGAUUUGCAGGUGGCAGGCCAGGGAUUUGUACCGUGGGACUUGGGUAAAUAAAGGGGACUGAACUCUGUGGGAAUCACAUCCAUACCGGAGCCCUGGAUUUUUGCAGUUCUGCCCUCCACCUUGCUAUCUGCACCAGGAGGCUCUCCACCUGGCAGCCAGAGGUCCCCAGUGGGCCGGGCUCACACACAAAUGAUGCUUCAGACCCGAAUGAGAGGACCACAUUUUGCUUAAUGUAAAGGAGCCACUUGAAAAUGUCUGCUCCUUCGGGGUCCUGAGAUUGUGGCUCCCCCUCUGGAGGAGGUGGCUCCACGAUGCCUUGAUUUUCACUCAUCAUUUGGACAUGUGACUGGCUUUUCCUACCUCUGCCAUGGCGUAGAAAUUGAUCGCACAUUGAUUGGAUGAGCCGGGGGUUUUCUCUAAAUCUGACUAAAGGCCCAAAGUGGGCCCAUCUGAGUCAGGUUUGUUGGGAACAAGCCCUCUCAAGUGGGUGGUGGCUUUUCAGUGGCCCUGAUUUCUGUUCCACAUGUGUUCACUGGAGCCAGGUGACUUCCUCCUUGCGUGAGUGAGGGCACAGGAAUCUCAAAAUUAAACCUGACUUCAUUGCA